rnacentral:sRNA from 1 species
GCCAGGUGCAAUGGUGCACGCCUGUGAUCCCAGCGGCUUGGAGGCUGAGGCAGGAGGACUAUUGAGUUCAGAGCCAGCCUCAGCAACCGCGAGGUGCUAAGCAACUCAGUGAGACCCUGUCUCUA